CCCAGGACCACGACCUGAGCUGAAGGCAGACACCCAACCGACUGAGCCACCCAGGAGCCCCUGAACUGAUCUAAGAGACUUAUCUGCUUCGGGCAAACCUCCUUUUCCAAGCUUUUCCUUUCACCUUCCUGCUAAUGCCUUCUUCUCCUUUGCACUCCCAGACUCCCACCUCCAUCCUGAGCUCAGGAUGAUGGAUGGAAAUGCCUCAUUUUGCCUGACGGUCUUGGGAAUUUCAUGUCGGUGUGGAUUCCCCCCACACCAUUUGAGAUCUUGGAUCAGCUGGGUUGGACCCUCCCAGAUCAGCGAGACUCGAGUCUCUCCAUCAAGGACCAGCACAGGGAUGCUGGAUUUUGUUGACUUGAUCUACUUACUUACAGAUGUUCAUCAUUUCCUGCUUAGACAGCUGCCGCCAUCUCCGGAGUCCUGGUCUCUGAGCUCAUCUCCCUUCUGUUCACCUGCUAUGAUGUCACCAGACUAUCAUUCUACAGCAGAAAUCUGAUCAUGUCAUUCCCACACAAAACACCUACCCAAAGAAUCUAAAGUCCUUGGCAUGAUAAGGCAACUCAUUAGUCACUCAUUCUUUCAACAAAUAUUUACUGAGCACUGAUUAUGUAUCAGGCUCUAUGCUGGCUGGCUAUGUUUGGAGACAUGGUGACAAACUGGAGAGAUGUGGCCUGUACCAUCAUGGAAUUUAUAUUCUAGCAGGGAGACAAACAGAGAUUUUUUUAAAAUGUGCACAAUAUAAUGAUAAACUGAGUAAACAUGAAAUUGUUAUUAAGUAACCAGGGUGCUGUGACUGAGUUCUGAGAGCAAGGGUGGAUGGCAGAGGUGGCCCC